rnacentral:rRNA from 1 species
AGUCGUAACAAGGUUUCCGUAGGAAAAUCCUUCUCUAAUGAAGCUUUGAAUACGCACGACUAUAAACAAUGCUAACAUAGCCCCUAAUUUAAUAUAAGGGCGACGUCACAUAAUUGCCGGGAUCCUUUUCACAAUAAGGGUACCAGCAGCCAAGUUUAACCUUGGUCCACAGAUUAGAUGGUGACGGUCAAACAAUACCAAAUAUCACGUUUUGAUUAGGAUAUAAUCGGUUUACUGUUUUAUCACAGCAAGUGAAGCGUUCCGUAGGUGAACCUGCGGAAGGAUCAUUAUCGAGUUAGGGUCCUCUGGGCCCCACCUCCCACUCUUGUCAACCUUAAAAUGUUGCUUUGACAGGCCUGUCUUUAACUGGACUGCCGGGGAAUCCAUCUCCGGCCCGCGCCCGUCUGCAACCACUUUUAAACUCUUUCAACCAUGUCUAAACAAACCAAAAUUAUUAAAACUUUCAACAACGGAUCUCUUGGUUCUGGCAUCGAUGAAGAACGCAGCGAAAUGCGAUAAGUAAUGCGAAUUGCAGAAUUCCGUGAGUCAUCGAAUCUUUGAACGCACAUUGCGCCCUUUGGUAUUCCGAAGGGCAUGCCUGUUCGAGCGUCAUUGUCAACCCUCAAGCCCGGCUUGCAGUUGGAUCCCACCGUUGGCGACACCGGUGGAUCUGAAAGACAAUGGCCGAGUCUCUGGACCCCGGAUGCAGCGAGCUUCUUAGCAGGCAUCUUAACGGUCUUUGGCUCGGUCUCAACUAAUUUAUUUUAUCUGGUUGACCUCGGAUCAGGUAGGGAUACCCGCUGAACUUAAGCAUAUCAAUAAGCGGAGGAAAAGAAACCAACAGGGAUUGCCUCAGUAACGGCGAGUGAAGCGGCAACAGCUCAAAUUUGAAAUCUGGCUCCUUGGGGGGUCCGAGUUGUAAUUUGUAGAGGAUGCUUCGGGCAAGGCUGCGGUCUAAUUUGCUUGGAACAGCAAGUCACAGAGGGUGAGAGUCCCGUCUAGGACCGUGCGCCGCGUCCAUGUGAAGCUCCUUCGACGAGUCGAGUUGUUUGGGAAUGCAGCUCUAAAUGGGUGGUAAAUUUCAUCUAAAGCUGAAUAUUGGCCAGAGACCGAUAGCGCACAAGUAGAGUGAUCGAAAGAUGAAAAGCACUUUGAAAAGAGAGUUAAACAGUAUGUGAAAUUGUUGAAAGGGAAGCGCUUGCAACCAGACUUGCGUGUGACGGUUCCCCCAGCCUUCUGGUUGGGUUAUUCCGUCAUCUCCAGGCCAGCAUCGGUUUAGGUGGUCGGUCAAAGACCCCGGGAAUGUAUCCACCUCCGGGUCGACUUAUAGCCCGGGGUGCAAUGCGGCCCACCUGGACCGAGGAACGCGCUUCGGCUCGGAUGCUGGCGUAAUGGUUGUAAGCGGCC